UAAUGUCUGGGAAACUGCCUGAUGGAGGGGGAUAACUACUGGAAACGGUAGCUAAUACCGCAUAACGUCGCAAGACCAAUGAGGGGGACCUUCGGGCCUCUUGCCAUCAGAUGUGCCCAGAUGGGAUUAGCUAGUAGGUGGGGUAAUGGCUCACCUAGGCGACGAUCCCUAGCUGGUCUGAGAGGAUGACCAGCCACACUGGAACUGAGACACGGUCCAGACUCCUACGGGAGGCAGCAGUGGGGAAUAUUGCACAAUGGGCGCAAGCCUGAUGCAGCCAUACCGCGUGUAUGAAGAAGGCCUUCGGGUUGUAAAGUACUUUCAGCGGGGAGGAAGGUGUUGUGGUUAAUAACCGCAGCAAUUGACGUUACCCGCAGAAGAAGCACCGGCUAACUCCGUGCCAGCAGCCGCGGUAAUACGGAGGGUGCAAGCGUUAAUCGGAAUUACUGGGCGUAAAGCGCACGCAGGCGGUCUGUCAAGUCGGAUGUGAAAUCCCCGGGCUCAACCUGGGAACUGCAUUCGAAACUGGCAGGCUAGAGUCUUGUAG
rnacentral:rRNA from 1 species